AUAAAUAUGGCGAAAUAGGUAAACGCACUAAAUUUAGGAUUUAGUUUUUAAGAGUUCGAUUCUCUUUAUUUAUA
rnacentral:tRNA from 1 species